rnacentral:rRNA from 1 species
UAGGGAAUCUUCCGCAAUGGGCGAAAGCCUGACGGAGCAACGCCGCGUGAGUGAAGAAGGAUUUCGGUUCGUAAAGCUCUGUUGUUAGGGAAGAAUGAUUGUGUAGUAACUAUACACAGUAGAGACGGUACCUAACCAGAAAGCCACGGCUAACUACGUGCCAGCAGCCGCGGUAAUACGUAGGUGGCAAGCGUUGUCCGGAAUUAUUGGGCGUAAAGCGCGCGCAGGUGGUUUAAUAAGUCUGAUGUGAAAGCCCACGGCUCAACCGUGGAGGGUCAUUGGAAACUGUUAAACUUGAGUGCAGGAGAGAAAAGUGGAAUUCCUAGUGUAGCGGUGAAAUGCGUAGAGAUUAGGAGGAACACCAGUGGCGAAGGCGGCUUUUUGGCCUGUAACUGACACUGAGGCGCGAAAGCGUGGGGAGCAAACAGGAUUAGAUACCCUGGUAGUCCACGCCGUAAACGAUGAGUGCUAAGUGUUGGUCUCAUAAGAGAUUAGUGCUGCAGCUAACGCAUUAAGCACUCCGCCUGGGGAGUACGACCGCAAGGUUG